rnacentral:rRNA from 1 species
UACAGAGGGUGCAAGCGUUAAUCGGAAUUACUGGGCGUAAAGCGCACGUAGGUGGUUAUUUAAGUCGGAUGUGAAAUCCCUGGGCUUAACCUGGGCAUUGCAUGCGAUACUGGGUAGCUAGAGUAUGGUAGAGGAAAGUGGAAUUUCCGGUGUAGCGGUGAAAUGCGUAGAUAUCGGAAGGAACACCAGUGGCGAAGGCGGCUUUCUGGACUAAUACUGACACUGAGGUGCGAAAGCGUGGGUAGCGAACAGG